rnacentral:rRNA from 1 species
UAGGGAAUAUUAGAAAUGGACGAAAGUCUGAUCUAGCAACACCGCGUGUGCGAUGAAGACCUUCGGGUUGUAAAGCACUUUUUGGAAGGAUUAGGAAGGAAUGUACUUCCAGAAUAAGUCUCGGCUAACUACGUGCCAGCAGCCGCGGUAACACGCAGGAGGCGAACGUUAUCCGGAUUUACUGGGCGUAAAGCGCGUGUAGGUGGUUCUGUAAGUAGGGCGUGAAAGCUCCUGGGUCAACUGGGAGAGGCCGUUCUAAACUGCAGAGCUAGAGGAUGGUAGAGGGAGGUGGAAUUCCGGGUGUAGCGGUGGAAUGCGCAGAUAUCCGGAGGAACACCAGUGGCGAAGGCGGCCUCCUGGACCAUUCCUGACACUCAGACGCGAAAGCUAGGGUAGCAAACGG